GAGUCCGUAGCUCAGUUGGUAGAGCACCGGCCUUUUAAGCCGGUGGCCGAGGGUUCGAGACCCUCCGGACUCACUA
rnacentral:tRNA from 1 species